UACAGAGGGGGCAAGCGUUGUUCGGAAUUACUGGGCGUAAAGCGCGUGUAGGCGGCCCUGCAAGUCGGAUGUGAAAUCCCACGGCUCAACCGUGGAAGUGCAUUCGAAACUGCAGGGCUAGAGUCCUGGAGAGGAAGGUGGAAUGCUUGGUGUAGAGGUGAAAUUCGUAGAUAUCAAGCGGAACACCGGUGGCGAGGGCGGCCUUCUGGACAGUGACUGACGCUGAGACGCGAAAGCGUGGGGAGCAAACAGG
rnacentral:rRNA from 1 species